GAUGAAGAACGUAGUGAAAUGCGAUACGUAGUGUGAAUUGCAGAAUUCAGUGAAUCAUCGAAUCUUUGAACGCACAUUGCACCUCUCGGUAUUCCGGGAGGUAUGCCUGUUCGAGCGUCAUUUGUACCCUCAAGCUCUGCUUGGUGUUGGGUGUUUGUUCCGCCUCUGUGUGUGAACUCGCCUCAAAACAAUUGGCAGCCGACGUACUUGUUUCGGAGCGCAGCACAUUUUGCGAUCCAGAUCAACGUACAGCGGCAUCCAAGAAGCCUUAUUUAACGCUCUUGACCUCGGAUCAGGUAGGGAUACCCGCUGAACUUAAGCAUAUCAAUAAGCGGAGGA
rnacentral:misc_RNA from 1 species